AGGCAAAAGACCCUACAGAGUAAGGACCAAUCAUGACUGGUAAUGGAGAACAGACUCUGAGAAAUAAUAAUCAUGCACCAGGGACGGUGUUCACCUUCUGUAUUGCUGGGUCUUCAUGGCUUAGCAAAAACAGGUGUUCCAUAAAUAUUACUGAAUUGAAUAACUACUCAAUUACAUUGAAAUGAUCUAUUUAUGUGUUUGACAUAUCACAAAGGAAGGGCUAUAUUUUUGUGAGGGUUUCUAUUGCUGUGAUAAACACUAUCAGCAUAAGUGACUUUGGAGAGAAAAGGGCUUAUUUCAUCUUGUAAUUGGUAAUCCAUCAUCCAAGGAAGCCAGGGCGAGGCAGAAACUGAAGCUGAGGCCAUGGAGGGGUGCUGCUCAUUGGCUUGUCCAGCCUGCUUUCUUAUAGUACCCAUGACCACCAGCCCAGGAAUAACAGCACCCACACACACCUAGACAUGCCAACUGUAAUUUUACACUACAGACUCGCCUACAGGGAAAUCUUAGAGACAUUUUCUCAGUUCAGAGUCCCUUUUUCAAAAUGACUCUACUAGUCGAGGCAGGACCUGCCUAGGAUUUGUUGCACCAAUAUUCAUUAUAUGGAACUGGUGAGAUGGCUUAGUGGUUAAGAAUAUUUGCUGCUGUUACAGAGGAUCUGAGUUUGAUUCCCAGCAACCACAUUGGGUGCCUCACAGUCACCUGUCACACCAGCUCCCUGAAAUCCCACAUCUUCUGGCUUCCAUGGGCACCCAUCCAAUGUGGUAUAUGACACACAUGUACACAUAGAUAAAAAUGAUGUUCAAUACUUUAAAUACAGCAGGCACCCCAUAAAUCACCACUAUCACAAGUCAAGGAUAAUUCUUUCAUAAAUUUGCCCUUCUUUCUGCACACACUGCCAUGGCCUUUGCUCCCCACUUUCAUAGAACUCAUAAUUUGAAGUAUCACAUGUAGCUUCUGUUAUGUGUUUUUAAUUGUUCUUGCUAUUUCAAAUCUUGCGUCCCUUCCAACAAAACAAACACUUUAGCAUUUUGAAGACAAGGAAGGUGCUGGAUACUAUAAUUGCUUUUUCGGAUACUUAAAUCAUUUUUAUAUAAUAAACUUAAAGAAGUUUUUUUUUGAGCGGCACUGUUAGACAACUGUAGGCUAGACAUCAUGGCACAAGUCAAGGCUUCCAAGAGAUGACUGUCUGGAGACAGGCUCAUAUGCAAAGACUGUGAAGAUGGCAAUGGGAGGUCAGGAGAAGAAAGUUAGUGUGGUUCUGUUUGAAGCCUGUGUUGUAUUCCUUUUGGCAGAGCAGUGUGUGGUAAGGAUGCCUAUCCCGUGCUCCAGGAAAGUGGGUAUGCAAAGUAAGAGGAAGAUGUUUAGGGAAGAAAGCAGAGGGGCCCUUCAUUAUACUCUAGGACAAAAGCUGGAGCUAGUCUUUACUGGUUGGCAUUGUGUUAGGAGUAGAGGCCAAAUGGAAAACACCAAGUAAACAAUGAAUUUAAACCACUCAAACUCUACAAGAAACCCAUCUCUAUAGAUGUGGGGGGGGGGUGGGAAUCUGUGAGUUGUUCCUAAUUGGGAAAUUGCCAGGGAUUAACCUGCAUUGGCAGCAUCUCAAAUACACUUGCUGGAUAUAUUCAACAGAGAUCCUGAGAUGAAGUAGGGAUAUGGGCUGGCUGACCUCCCAAGGUCUUUUCCGCUACCACAAUCAUAUACGGAACCCUACUUUUUCCCAUUUAUGAUCCUACACAUGCCUGUAGUCCGUUUGAUAGUAAGUCCCCUGGGCAGCCUUCCAGGGUUAGUACGAUGCCACAAAAGGCUGUUAGCACUCAACAAACGACUCAAAUAUUUGUUGAAUGAAGGGAUAAAUGAAUCGUAUUUAAAUAGGUCUCUCAUGAGCUCCCCAGCUGUAGAGAAUAAAAUCACAACAUUCCAGGCAUGAUGAUGGUUUGAAGGUUUGAACAGAGCUAGCAAGGAAACGUGAUCUCUCUCUCUCUCUCUCUCUCUCUCUCUCUCUCUCUCUCUCUCUCUCUCUCUCUCUCUCACACACACACACACACACACACACACACACACACACACACACACACACACACACACACACACACACACACACACACACACACACACACACACACACACUAACCCUCUAGCCUUGUGAAAACACAGCCCACCUGCUCAGCCGGCAGGCUGCUGCAGGAGUUUCCUUGGCAAAGAAUCUUGUCUGCUGCUUCUAAAUGCAGUCUCCAGAAGGUCACUUCACCAGAUAUAGAACAGCUUCCCUUUUGGUCUCUAAGACAAAGUUUGUCCGGAUUCAGUGCGGGUCUCCCCUGGGGUGCUUCUACACUCCCGCCCCAACACUGGGUGCCUCUGGCGCACAGCUGGUCCGCCCGCAACACCCCGCCUUACCUUGGAAUGCAAGCACUGUGCAAAUGAGAAGAAAAUUAACCUUCAUGUAACAAGAAAAUUGAGCCAUAAAUUACUCACUGUGUUGGAUUAUCAGAUCGCUGGUCCCCUGACUCAUGGUAUUUGAGUGAGAAUGCACGCUUGCCACAUUGGAAGAAUGACCUGCUGGUUCAGGUUACUACCAUUUGUAUUCCUCCAGGGUAUGGCUUUUCCCUUUUCAGGAAACAGAUGAGAUUAAGCCAUGAUUAUGAACUUCUACAAUCCAAGAUUAUCUGGACUGCUUCAACAAAAGACUAUUGAUUGCCAUUAAUAAAGAUGAAACAUCUAGAAAUGCA